UACGAGGGGGGCAAGCGUUGUUCGGAAUUACUGGGCGUAAAGGGCGUGCAGGCGGUCUGUUAAGUGCAGGGUGAAAGCUCCCGGCUCAACUGGGAGAGGUCCUUGCAUACUGGCGGACUUGAGGGGGGUAGAGGAAAGUGGAAUUCCCGGUGUAGUGGUGAUAUGCGUAGAUAUCGGGAGGAACACCUGUGGCGAAAGCGGCGCACUGGACCAUAACUGACGCUGAUGCGCGAAAGCUAGGGGAGCAAACAGG
rnacentral:rRNA from 1 species